rnacentral:rRNA from 1 species
AGGGAAUCUUCCACAAUGGACGCAAGUCUGAUGGAGCAACGCCGCGUGAGUGAAGAAGGUCUUCGGAUCGUAAAGCUCUGUUGUUGGUGAAGAAGGAUAGAGGCAGUAACUGGUCUUUAUUUGACGGUAAUCAACCAGAAAGUCACGGCUAACUACGUGCCAGCAGCCGCGGUAAUACGUAGGUGGCAAGCGUUGUCCGGAUUUAUUGGGCGUAAAGCGAGCGCAGGCGGAAUGAUAAGUCUGAUGUGAAGGCCCACGGCUCAACCGUGGAACUGCAUCGGAAACUGUCAUUCUUGAGUGCAGAAGAGGAGAGUGGAACUCCAUGUGUAGCGGUGGAAUGCGUAGAUAUAUGGAAGAACACCAGUGGCGAAGGCGGCUCUCUGGUCUGCAACUGACGCUGAGGCUCGAAAGCAUGGGUAGCGAACAGGAUUAGAUACCCUGGUAGUCCAUGCCGUAAACGAUGAGCGCUAGGUGUUGGGGACUUUCCGGUCCUCAGUGCCGCAGCAAACGCAUUAAGCGCUCCGCCUGGGGAGUACGACCGCAAGGUUGAAAC